rnacentral:rRNA from 1 species
CGCCCAACAGCUAGCCCCCCCCAACCAUAAACAAUAAACCACUAUUCAUACCCCUUAAUACACUAAUAUUGUGUUAAACAAACCAUUUUUCCCCCUAAGUAUGUGCGACAGAAAAGGGACUGUGGAGCGAUAGAGAAAGUACCGCAAGGGAACGCUGAAAGAGAAGUGAAAAAACCCAGUGAAGCGUUAAGAAGCAGAGAUGAAACCUCGUACCUUUUGCAUCAUGAUUUAGCCAGUGUAACCCAAGCAAAGUGUGCUUUAGUUUGAUAACCCGAAACUAAGUGAGCUACUCCAAGACAGCCUAUUAAUAGGGCAAACCCGUCUCUGUGGCAAAAGAGUGGGAAGAGCUUUGAGUAGAGGUGACAGACCUACCGAACUUAGUUAUAGCUGGUUGCCUGGGAAUUGGAUAGAAGUUCAGCCUCCCAGAUUCUUUAUUCACCUCAGUAUUACCCCUUCUGAUACCUUUAAGAAGCAGAGAGAGUUAGUCAAAGGGGGUACAGCCCCUUUGAAUCAAGAUACAACUUUUCCAGGAGGGUAAAGAUCAUA